GACGUAGGUGGCGAACGUUAUCCGGAAUUAUUGGGCGUAAAGGGUGCGUAGAUGGCCUGAUAAGUUAGCAGUGGGAAAUCGAGGCUCAACCUCGUGGAAGCUGGUAAUACUGUCAGGCUCGAGUGCAGGAGAGGCUAACGGAACUCCAUGUGGAGCGGUAAAAUGUGUAGAUAUAUGGAAGAACACCAAUAACGGCGAAGGCAGUUAACUAUUCUGUUACUGACAUUGAGGCACGAAAGCGUGGGGAGCAAAACGG
rnacentral:rRNA from 1 species